CCUUGACCAUCAGAAAGCGAAAGAAGAGAACAGUCGCGGGGCGCAGAAGAAAAGGAGACGAAAUUUAUUAGCUCAAAGAAAAAUUAUGAUCUUUAUGCCACCGAAUUAGCCAUGUGUAUUGCAGCGUUUCUAUGGCAAGUUCACCCAGUAUACUAAUUCCUUAUCUUGCUUAAUAGUUUUUCGCUUUUGAAGGCCUAAAAGACCAUUGGAAUGGUGGGAAGGUGGUGACAUUUUGGGAGGGAGAGAUGAUGUUGCUGGUGGGACAUGGCUCGCUUGUAGCGGGGAUGGACCGGUGGCUUUCCUCACAAAUGUCAGGGAAGUUCAGAAGCUUCAAGAGGCCAAGAGUAGAGGGGAUCUCCUAGUCCGUUUCUUGAAGGCUAUUGGUUUGAUCAAAUUUUGGCACCCGGUCCCUGUUUGAUCUGUUUUCUGUGUGAAUGAUUUAAAGGGUUCUAGAGAUAUGCAUGUUGAUUCGAACAUAUGGGUUUUGCCGUGUACUUGUGGACGAAGACGCGCAGCAAGAUAGUAUAAUAUUUUAUACAAUAUAGAGUAGCGUUGUUGUUGCAGGAAGUCGUUUGGUUUCGUAAGAAGUCAUUUUUGAUCUACAAUCUGUAAAUUGUCAACCAUAGACAACUUAUCAAAAAAAUUGCCAACCAUAGAGAACUGAUCUCAUUUUCAUUUCAAGGA